AUUGAACGCUGGCGGCAGGCCUAACACAUGCAAGUCGAGCGAGCGGCGGACGGGUGAGUAAUGUAUGGGGAUCUUCCCGAUAGAGGGGGAUCACUACUGGAACCGGUGGCUACUACCGCAUACUAUCGGCUGAACCCCUCUGGGAUUAGCUAGUCGGUGGGGUAAAGGCGCACCAAGCGACGAUCUCUAGCUGGGCUGCGAGGGUGAUCAGCCACAAUGGGACUGAGACACGGCCCAGACUCCUACGGGAGGCAGCAGUAGGGAAUAUGGCGCAAUGGGGGCAACCCUGACACAGCCAUGCCGCGUGAAUGAAGAAGGCCUUCGGGUUGUAAAGUUCUUUCGGUAGCGAGGCGUUAACUACAGAAGAAGCACCGGCUACUCCGUGCCAGCAGCCGCGGUAAUAC
rnacentral:rRNA from 1 species